rnacentral:rRNA from 1 species
AGAGUUUGAUCCUGGCUCAGGAUGAACGCUGGCGGCGUGCUUAACACAUGCAAGUCGAGCGAAGCGCUUUGGGAAGAUUCUUCGGAUGAUUUCCUUUGUGACUGAGCGGCGGACGGGUGAGUAACGCGUGGGUAACCUGCCUCAUACAGGGGGAUAACAGUUAGAAAUGACUGCUAAUACCGCAUAAGACCACGGUACCGCAUGGUACAGUGGUAAAAACUCCGGUGGUAUGAGAUGGACCCGCGUCUGAUUAGGUAGUUGGUGGGGUAACGGCCUACCAAGCCGACGAUCAGUAGCCGACCUGAGAGGGUGACCGGCCACAUUGGGACUGAGACACGGCCCAGACUCCUACGGGAGGCAGCAGUGGGGAAUAUUGCACAAUGGAGGAAACUCUGAUGCAGCGACGCCGCGUGAAGGAUGAAGUAUUUCGGUAUGUAAACUUCUAUCAGCAGGGAAGAAAAUGACGGUACCUGACUAAGAAGCCCCGGCUAACUACGUGCCAGCAGCCGCGGUAAUACGUAGGGGGCAAGCGUUAUCCGGAUUUACUGGGUGUAAAGGGAGCGUAGACGGCACGGCAAGCCAGAUGUGAAAGCCCGGGGCUCAACCCCGGGACUGCAUUUGGAACUGCUGAGCUAGAGUGUCGGAGAGGCAAGUGGAAUUCCUAGUGUAGCGGUGAAAUGCGUAGAUAUUAGGAGGAACACCAGUGGCGAAGGCGGCUUGCUGGACGAUGACUGACGUUGAGGCUCGAAAGCGUGGGGAGCAAACAGGAUUAGAUACCCUGGUAGUCCACGCCGUAAACGAUGACUGCUAGGUGUCGGGUGGCAAAAGCCAUUCGGUGCCGCAGCUAACGCAACAAGCAGUCCCCCUGGGGAGUACGGUUCGCAAGAUGGAACUCAAAGGGAAUUGACGGGGACCCGCGCAAGCGGUGGAGCAUGUGGUUUAAUUUGAAGCAACGCGAAGAACCUUACCUGAUCUUGACAUCCCGAUGACCGCUUCGUAAUGGAAGUUUUUCUUCGGAACAUCGGUGACAGGUGGUGCAUGGUUGUCGUCAGCUCGUGUCGUGAGAUGUUGGGUUAAGUCCCGCAACGAGCGCAACCCCUAUCUUCAGUAGCCAGCAGGUUAAGCUGGGCACUCUGGAGAGACUGCCAGGGAUAACCUGGAGGAAGGUGGGGAUGACGUCAAAUCAUCAUGCCCCUUAUGACCAGGGCUACACACGUGCUACAAUGGCGUAAACAAAGAGAAGCGAACUCGCGAGGGUAAGCAAAUCUCAAAAAUAACGUCUCAGUUCGGAUUGUAGUCUGCAACUCGACUACAUGAAGCUGGAAUCGCUAGUAAUCGCAGAUCAGAAUGCUGCGGUGAAUACGUUCCCGGGUCUUGCACACACCGCCCGUCA